GACGAACGCUGGCGGCGUGCUUAACACAUGCAAGUCGAACGGAAAGGCCCUGCUUUUGUGGGGUGCUCGAGUGGCGAACGGGUGAGUAACACGUGAGUAACCUGCCCUUGACUUUGGGAUAACUUCAGGAAACUGGGGCUAAUACCGGAUAGGAGCUCCUGCUGCAUGGUGGGGGUUGGAAAGUUUCGGCGGUUGGGGAUGGACUCGCGGCCUAUCAGCUUGUUGGUGGGGUAGUGGCUUACCAAGGCUUUGACGGGUAGCCGGCCUGAGAGGGUGACCGGCCACAUUGGGACUGAGAUACGGCCCAGACUCCUACGGGAGGGAGCAGUGGGGAAUAUUGCACAAUGGGCGGAAGCCUGAUGCAGCAACGCCGCGUGCGGGAUGACGGCCUUCGGGUUGUAAACCGCUUUCGCCUGUGACGAAGCGUGAGUGACGGUAAUGGGUAAAGAAGCACCGGCUAACUACGUG
rnacentral:rRNA from 1 species